AUUGAACGCUGGCGGCAGGCCUAACACAUGCAAGUCGAGCGGCAGCGGGAAAGUAGCUUGCUACUUUUGCCGGCGAGCGGCGGACGGGUGAGUAAUGCCUGGGGAUCUGCCCAGUCGAGGGGGAUAACUACUGGAAACGGUAGCUAAUACCGCAUACGCCCUACGGGGGAAAGCAGGGGACCUUCGGGCCUUGCGCGAUUGGAUGAACCCAGGUGGGAUUAGCUAGUUGGUGAGGUAAUGGCUCACCAAGGCGACGAUCCCGAGCUGGUCUGGGAGGAUGAUCAGCCACACUGGAACUGAGACACGGUCCAGACUCCUACGGGAGGCAGCAGUGGGGAAUAUUGCACAAUGGGGGAAACACUGAUGCAGCCAUGCCGCGUGUGUGAAGAAGGCCUUCGGGUUGUAAAGCACUUUCAGCGAGGAGGAAAGGUUGGUAGCUAAUAACUGCCAGCUGUGACGUUACUCGCAGAAGAAGCACCGGCUAACUCCGUGCCAGCAGCCGCGGUAAGAC
rnacentral:rRNA from 1 species